ACCUAUAAUAUAGGUAAAAUAUACCAAUAAAAUCGGUAGAAUAUACCAAUAUUGUGAGAGAAGUGGCGUUACUCAAAUAUGGGUAAGUUCAUUUACUCAUAUUUGGAUGAAAUAAAAAACAUAAACAAAAUGAUUUCCCGAAGCUUAAACAUCACCCGAACGAACAUCAAGUUUGUCCUCUGAAAAACGCCGGGCUGCACAUGAAAACCUGGUAAACGAACUAGGCUGCAUCUCGGGGUGCAUCACAGUCAUCCUUUCCGGAUGUAACUUUGGGAACGAUCCCCAACCGCUUUGGGAAGAAGGCUUGGGAUGUCUUCUGGGAUCCCGUGGAAACGUUGAGGCAGUGAAAAGUGCUCAAUACUAAAAACUUUGUGCUGGUUCUGGAGCUACGAAAAUUGCCUGAAAGAAUACAACACUAGCUCUUACCCAACAAUCCAUAGUUGGCCGAGUGAUUGUCGCAGUUGACCAAUCUCUUGAACCCACCCCAAAUAUAGUGUUAUUUUUCAGAGGAGCACCACCACCAGUUAUUUUGAUUGAACGCAUUUCGUAUGGCUCCGAGCAAAACUGUUUCGACUAACAAGACUUAGAUCCAAGGGCAUGUCAUAAUUAGCACUGGAAGCUAUUUCGACGUUCAUUUCGGUGCAGUAGAAUUCUUAAAACUAGACUCCGUCGGAUUUCAAUCAACGAAAUACAAUCGCAAGUGGAAAUAGUCGAUAGCUGAUAUUUUUUCCACCUGACACACCUGUUUUGUGAGGAUUGUGUCGAAUACAAAGGAUCAACAAAAUCACUAAUUAAAAAGAACGACUUUUGCAAGGCCGUGCGGAAAAAUUACAAGGAGGAAAGAAUCUGUUAAGAGCUCGAGAAGCCACAAGAUGUAUUCUCGAUGGACCUAAUAUGGAAAAGUAAACUGCAUGCGACAUCAACAGUGAUCGGAUCCGGAUUAUACCUGAGACUAAAAUGGGUUGGAUUCAACGAAGGCGGAAGAGUUACGGAUUUGAUCAAGAACGAGGGAACUACGGAGACAAGAACAUGAGCGCGAAACGGACUGCUGUUGUUCUCGUAUCAAAGGUUAAUCUUCUUUAUUGCUAUCCGUUGCUGCUGCUGGAAUAUAAUCAAAGGUUUGGAUUUUAAAGAUAUUAGACCUGUUGAUAUGGACAUGUGAUUCACUAUUUGGAUCUGAAGCCGCUGAUAAAUGUUCCGCUUCAUGUCGCUGCUAUCAGGCUACCAAAAUUAUUCCGGUCUGGUAUUACAUGCAGCCCUUCUUCCGGUCACUUGUAUUUUAAUGUUAGGUAACAUUAUUUAGCUACUAAGCAGGACCGGAUUUAGCCGGAAGGGGGCCCCGGGGCCGACGGUAUGUGGGGGCCCCAAAAUGUACAAAAAAGGUUGGUUUUGGUACAUAAGAUUUGUGGGGGCCCGGGCCACGGCCCCCCGGCUCCCCCAUAAAUCCGGCCCUGCUACUAAGUAAACGACAACAUAAUUUAAAAUAACUAAUGUCAUUUUAUACAUGAUUUCAUUAAAUCAAUAAAAUAAUUUCCGUGAUACGACUUUUUAUUGGACGGUAUACCAACAUUACAUUCCAUAUAAACAAUAUUUUCAAUAUCCAAAACAAAAAAGGUUCACCCAUAUCUGAGUCAAUUUCACCUAUAAUAGAGUACCCAUAAAUAGGUAAACAUUACCAAUAUUUCUAUGAACCAUUUGUACUCAAAUAUGGGUAAACGGCA